rnacentral:rRNA from 1 species
ACCCACAGCUAUACCUCCCUGAACAUCCCACCCAAUCUUGUCUGAUCUAGGAAGUUAGGCAGGGCUGGAAGAGAGAAGAAGUGAGUUCAGUUGUAAGUG